rnacentral:tRNA from 1 species
UUAAUUGAAUCCAAAGUUGAGGAGUAUUAUUGUUAAUAAUUAAAUUGAAAGAAAAUUUCCAAUUAAU